UUAGCACAUAUGACAUAGGUAGUGAUAGCAUAUAUGAGGAGAGGUAUGUGCUGCCUUGGUGUGUGCUAUAGGUAGUGUACCCAACCCUGUGUUGUCACAUGACUUAAUGUCUGUGCCUCCGCAUUGUGGUCUCCUGACUCAUUUGCUACUUAGACUGUUGCUGGUAUUGAAUCUUGAUUGUCCGAGGCAUUCUUUGGGUUGAGCUUCCUUGUUUUUGCAGUCAUAGCUGAUAACUGGUGUAGUGGCUGCUUCUUGGCAUCAGUGCUGUGCAGAUCGCAUGCUUCACUCUCUGUCCUGGUAUUUUAGCCUGGACGGGUUAUUGGCUGGGUUUCUGGCUCUUCACAUUGGAAGUUUUCCUCACUGUGAGCACUGCUGUUUUGCCUUUAUUCCAGAGUCCCAAUAGGGGUCGUGAUGACUUUCCGGGUGGUGCCCUGGAAAUCGCCGGACUUGGAACAAUGAAUGAACUUGGGGUUGGGCUGUUUUCUUUGAGUUAGGGACUGGUUUGGUUGUGAAAGACAUUGAGGAUUUGUGUUUGUUUUUUCCCCUACAUAUUAUUUAUAAUUUUCUUUUUUGUGUUUAAGUAUCAGUUUUUUUGUACUCUUUGUCUUUUUGUCUUGGAGUGUCUGUGUCGAGCCCCACAUGCUCUGAACAGGCGUAUUAUUGUGUUUUAUUAUUUUUCUCUCUGUCUUCAUUUUGUUACUGUCCUGUGUUUAUUCUCACUAGUUUGUAUUUUUUGUUUACCCUGCUUAAAGCAGCACAAAGCAAUAAAGUUUUGCUCUUGAAGGUUAUCUCUAACUUGCAGUUUAGCUGAGUGCCCCCUAGUGUGGCAUCAAGUUCCCUUUAUAGUAACCUUUGUUUGUCUUACUGUAGGUGUUGUGCUAAAUCACUUCUGAUUUGAUUUGCUGUGCCUGCGUGUAAGUUUUUGGUGCAUUCUGCAAUGUAUAAUAAAGGACUCAAGGUGGUCAGUGAAAA